GGGGUGCAGCAGGCGCGAAAACUCUGCAAUAAGCGAAAGCUUGACAGGGUUAUUCUGAGUGAUUUCCGCUAAGGAAAUCUUUUGGCACCUCUAAAAAUGGUGCAGAAUAAGGGGUGGGCAAGUCUGGUGUCAGCCGCCGCGGUAAUACCAGCACCCCGAGUGGUCGGGACGAUUAUUGGGCCUAAAGCAUCCGUAGCCGGUACUGCAAGUCCUCCGUUAAAUCCACCUGCUUAACAGAUGGGCUGCGGGGGAUACUACAGAGCUAGGAGGCGGGAGAGGCAAGCGGUACUCAAUGGGUAGGGGUAAAAUCCGUUGAUCCAUUGAAGACCACCAGUGGCGAAGGCGGCUUGCCAGAACGCGCUCGACGGUGAGGGAUGAAAGCUGGGGGAGCAAACCGGAUUAGAUACCCGGGUAGUCCCAGCUGUAAACGAUGCAGACUCGGUGAUGGGUAGGCUUUGUGCCAACUCAGUGCCGCAGGGAAGCCGUUAAGUCUGCCGCCUGGGGAGUACGGUCGCAAGACUGAAACUUAAAGGAAU
rnacentral:rRNA from 1 species